UGGGUAACCUGCCUCAAAGAGGGGAAUAGCCUUCCGAAAGGAAGAUUAAUACCGCAUAAUAUGUUUUGGUCGCAUGACCGAGACAUCAAAGGAGUCUUCUUCUUAGGAAGAAGCAUCCGCUUUGAGAUGGACCCGCGGCGCAUUAGCUAGUUGGUGAGGUAACGGCUCACCAAGGCGACGAUGCGUAGCCGACCUGAGAGGGUGAUCGGCCACAUUGGAA
rnacentral:rRNA from 1 species